AUUCCUAGCCAAACACACCCAUAUGUAGAGAGAGAAAAUGGGAUAAACUGAGAGGCAGCAUGGCCAUCCCACCUUCUGCGGUGGCGGAGCCACGAUGGAGCGACAGUGGAGUGACGGCGUAGAUGUGGUGAAGUCACGGCGGAGCGGUAGUGGAGCCACGGCGUAGAUGCGGUUACAGCUACACCGUCACGAACGAAGCAGACAGCGAGAGGUUAACCGGAUCCUUCGCCGUUGUUUCGUCACCGGAGGUUCGUUAUUUUUCCGGUCAUAAUCUCCGGCAACUACAACUUUUUACACACUCAAUAUAUACACUUACGUACAUGAUUAUUCGUCACUUUUUGUACGGAAACCUAGGGUUUCUUCGUGCCAGUUGUAGAUGGUUAGAUAGUUCUAGAUACUUUGGAUGUUAGUUGUGCAGAAUUAGUGAAUUAUUGUUUUAGGUUGAGGAUUGUUGCUGGUUAUGCAUUGCUUAUUAGUAUGUUGAAUUAAAGUUUUGUUAGGUUUUAGCUCCUACUUUUUAGUGGAUUACAACAACGCCAGUUAAGUAGCUUUUGCACUUUUGCUGAGAAGAAUGAAGUACAGUGACAACUAUGAAAUUAGUCUAUUAAUUUAAUUACAACGAACUGCCUUAUACCCAAUCAAAACAAAUAAUUCAACAAAUACAUGUACUUUCACUAGGCACACUUUACCAAUAAGUAUCAUGUGUAGCUUGGUUUUAAAAAGCGCGUCUUAGGCGCGCUUAAGCGUGAGGCGCAACAAGGCUUACACAUUGGGGCUUUUACACUCAACGCCUAGAGUAAUUAUAAGAAGCCCCAAAAAGGCACACUUUUUUGGGAUUUCCUGGCUUUUUUUUUGGCCUGAGGCGCGCGCCUCUCGUACCUAAGGUGUUUUUAUACAUCUAACUGUUGUAUUGGAGAUGUUAUUCAAGUGGCAAACAUGUGUUGGAGACGAGCGGACAUGCUACCAUGGAACAAAUUGCUUGAAUAGGAUCAACGGCAGUCGAUAGCAUAACAAAAAAGGAAAAAGGUACGCGCUGUGUGCACGCCUUUGAAGGUGUUUGGAAUAUAUAUACAGUGAGUCUAUAUUCAGGGGCCUCCGUAGAUCAUCAAGUUCAUGGGUAAUAUAUAUAAACCUUUGUAAACUUAACUGCAGCAAAUAGUGAAUGCAAAGUUGCAAAUAUGAUUCUUUUUUUGGUUUUGGGAGUUGAUGUUUUAGUUUAUUAGCCCUGUAUGUAGUGUACGUGUAUGAUUAGAUGAAGUAUGAACUUCAUUCUUUUACAUUUGUAGCAUACAUAUUACUGUAUUCAUAACAUAUAUGCACGGCAGACAUAAAUAAAAAUCUAGCCCCCGUCGCAUCGCAGCGGGUUACUUUUCUAGUUA